UCAAUAGGUGAAGGCUCUGGUGAAUAUAAGUGGUGCCCCAGUGUAUUCACUUGAUGAUUUAAACAAGUCUGGAAGAUGUUUUCGGAAAGGGUUUAAGUUAAAUGAAAGUAAACUGAUACAUACGGAUGAAGGUGUUUCUAUAAAAGACAGCGGUCCCUAUGACACUGAAAUAAUUCCGGCCUGGACGAAUAAUGCCAAGAUCUUGUACUUGUGUGGAGAAGAUGAUGCCGUGUGGAGAACAGACUUUGCUAAUACAUUUAUUGAGACAUGUCCUGAAGAGAAGAGGAAGAACACUGAGCUCAUUAUCUAUCCUGGAGCAGGACAUCUCAUCGAGCCACCAUAUAUGCCUGUGUCUACAUCCAUGUACAACAAAACCUUCGAUGAGUAUUACAAAGGGGAUAAUGUCAGUUAUCUGUAUAUUAUCAAAUCCACCCAAGCAAUCCAGUUUUGCCCGCAUCAACAUGUUCCACGCAAUUACAGUCCGUUUGAGUCAGAAACGGACCGAUGAAUUGC